AUUGAACGCUGGCGGCAGGCCUAACACAUGCAAGUCGAAUGGUAACAGGAAACCGCUUGCUGUUUCGCUGACGAGUGGCGGACGGGUGAGUAAUGUCUGGGAAACUGCCUGAUGGAGGGGGAUAACUACUGUAAACGGUAGCUAAUACCGCAUAACGUCGCAAGACCAAAGCGCGGGACCUUCGGGCCUCUUGCCAUCAGAUGUGCCCAGAUGGGAUUAGCUAGUAGGUGGGGUAACGGCUCACCUAGGCGACGAUCCCUAGCUGGUCUGAGAGGAUGACCAGCCACACUGGAACUGAGACACGGUCCAGACUCCUACGGGAGGCAGCAGUGGGGAAUAUUGCACAAAGGGCGAAAGCCUGAUGCAGCCAUGCCGCGUGUAUGAAGAAGGCCUUCGGGUUGUAAAGUACUUUCAGCGGGGAGGAAGGGAGUAAAGUUAAUACCUGUGCUCAUUGACGUUACCGGAAGAAGAAGCACCGGCUAACUACGUG
rnacentral:rRNA from 1 species